UACGCUUUAGUAUAGGAUGUGCAAGAGAUUUUGAUUCUCUAGGGAAUGGUUUGAUUCCAUUAGGCGUAA
rnacentral:tRNA from 1 species